rnacentral:rRNA from 1 species
ACCCUUUAAUGUUUGAUGUUCUAACGUGGACCCGUGAUCCGGGUUGCGGACAGUGUCUGGUGGGUAGUUUGACUGGGGCGGUCUCCUCCUAAAGAGUAACGGAGGAGCACGAAGGUUGGCUAAUCCUGGUCGGACAUCAGGAGGUUAGUGCAAUGGCAUAAGCCAGCUUGACUGCGAGCGUGACGGCGCGAGCAGGUGCGAAAGCAGGUCAUAGUGAUCCGGUGGUUCUGAAUGGAAGGGCCAUCGCUCAACGGAUAAAAGGUACUCCGGGGAUAACAGGCUGAUACCGCCCAAGAGUUCAUAUCGACGGCGGUGUUUGGCACCUCGAUGUCGGCUCAUCACAUCCUGGGGCUGAAGUAGGUCCCAAGGGUAUGGCUGUUCGCCAUUUAAAGUGGUACGCGAGCUGGGUUUAGAACGUCGUGAGACAGUUCGGUCCCUAUCUGCCGUGGGCGCUGGAGAACUGAGGGGGGCUGCUCCUAGUACGAGAGGACCGGAGUGGACGCAUCACUGGUGUUCGGGUUGUCAUGCCAAUGGCACUGCCCGGUAGCUAAAUGCGGAAGAGAUAAGUGCUGAAAGCAUCUAAGCACGAAACUUGCCCCGAGAUGAGUUCUCCCUGAGACUUUAGGUCUCCUGAAGGAACGUUGAAGACGACGACGU